rnacentral:rRNA from 1 species
UAGGGAAUAUUGGACAAUGGGCGAAAGCCUGAUCCAGCCAUGCCGCGUGAUAGAUGAAGGCCCUCUGGGUUGUAAAUAUCUUUUAUCUGGGAAGAAACACUUCUAUUCUUAGAAGCUUGACGGUACCAGAGGAAUAAGCACCGGCUAACUCCGUGCCAGCAGCCGCGGUAAUACGGAGGGUGCAAGCGUUAUCCGGAUUCACUGGGUUUAAAGGGUGCGUAGGCGGGUAUAUAAGUCAGUGGUGAAAGCUCCGGGCUUAACUUGGAAACUGCCAUUGAUACUGUAUAUCUUGAAUGUCGUUGAGGUAAGCGGAAUGUUGCAUGUAGCGGUGAAAUGCUUAGAUAUGUUACAGAACACCAAUUGUGAAGACAGCUUACUAAGCGAUGAUUGACGCUGAGGCACGAAAGCGUGGGGAGCAAACAGGAUUAGAUACCCCCGUAGUCC